rnacentral:rRNA from 1 species
AGAGUUUGAUCCUGGCUCAGAUUGAACGCUGGCGGCAGGCCUAACACAUGCAAGUCGAGCGGCAGCGACUUAACUGAACCUUCGGGGAACGUUAAGGGCGGCGAGCGGCGGACGGGUGAGUAAUGCCUGGGAAUAUGCCCUGAUGUGGGGGAUAACUAUUGGAAACGAUAGCUAAUACCGCAUAAUCUCUUCGGAGCAAAGAGGGGGACCUUCGGGCCUCUCGCGUCAGGAUUAGCCCAGGUGGGAUUAGCUUGUUGGUGAGGUAAUGGCUCACCAAGGCAACGAUCCCUAGCUGGUCUGAGAGGAUGAUCAGCCACACUGGAACUGAGACACGGUCCAGACUCCUACGGGAGGCAGCAGUGGGGAAUAUUGCACAAUGGGGGAAACCCUGAUGCAGCCAUGCCGCGUGUGUGAAGAAGGCCUUCGGGUUGUAAAGCACUUUCAGUAGGGAGGAAGGUAGUGUAGUUAACACCUGCAUUAUUUGACGUUACCUACAGAAGAAGCACCGGCUAACUCCGUGCCAGCAGCCGCGGUAAUACGGAGGGUGCGAGCGUUAAUCGGAAUUACUGGGCGUAAAGCGCAUGCAGGCGGCCUGUUAAGUCAGAUGUGAAAGCCCGGGGCUUAACCUCGGAAUUGCAUUUGAAACUGGCAGGCUAGAGUCUUGUAGAGGGGG